GGAGCUCCUUUAGAGACUCCUAGGGGCAGGGUAGUCAUGUUUCAUGGUGACCUCGGAAAGCCAUGCAAAGAGUGCAACAUUGAAGAGACUCUCCUGCUGUCACAAAGGGUUUCUGUUCUCCUGCACAGUCAGACAGUGGGGCCAGGUUGCAGAAUGUGGAAGAGCUGUUGGUGAUGAGUUGAAGGAUUCACCAUACCGGUGGCAGCAGCUGCAGAUCCUGGAGUCCCUAUGGUAGGGUUACCAUGCAUAUGGGUUUUCACGGACAUGUGCGGCUUUUUGGGUUUUAAAUACCCGUCGGGGAGGAAUUAGUAAAACUCUCAAAAAUUCCGGGAUUUCCCUCCCAAUGCAGAGCGCGGCACGGCUGACAGGGCAGCCGGGCCGGCUUGAACCGCUCGCAUCAGGGCCUCCCACAGCCAGAGCCCCUCCACUGCUGCCCCCCUCCCGUGCAGCCUCAGCAAGCCAUGCCGGCAGCGCUGUGCAGGGCGGGGCUGCGUUUUCCGCGGGGGAGCACGGCACCGUAUCUGGCUCCGCACACUGCUCUGAGCAGCAUGGUAAGGGGGCCGGGGAGUUGGAGGACUGGCAUGGGGUCCCAAGGGACA